rnacentral:lncRNA from 1 species
GGGAAAUACAGCUUUAAAUUACAGAUUGUACCCAGAGCACUUUAUAAACGGUUAUGUGUGAUAAUGUAUUAUCCUUACUUCUGUGAAAUUGUGGACUGCAACUUCUGUCGGGGCCAGUUAAAGGGCCAGGAGAUGGAGAGGGUUGCGUGAAUGCCAUUCAAGAAAAGGGCAACAGAGGCUAAGGGGUUAAACUCCCCAGAAAACCAAUUUAUGCAAAGGGCUGGAUCCUGACCGGCAUUCUGCACUAACGAUCUGAAUUACAAAUUUAGAGAAUUUGCUGCUCGACAACGAAUGCAGGAAGGACCUCACUGGCUGCUGGGAACAACUGCCCUUUUGAAUGAAUUCUUUUAUGGUUACCAGUCAAAAAGUCACCGUCAGCUGGAACUGGAAGGGAGGUGUGUGUGGGUGUGUGUGUGUGUGCGUGUGUACGCGCAGUGGCAGCCAUUUCAGCUCAAUAGCUCCAUUCCUGGAAAGGCCACUUCUUCUUGACAUGGGAGAAGAC